rnacentral:rRNA from 1 species
ACGCUGGCGGCAUGCUUUACACAUGCAAGUCGGACGGCAGCACAGAGAAGCUUGCUUCUUGGGUGGCGAGUGGCGAACGGGUGAGUAAUAUAUCGGAACGUACCGAGUAAUGGGGGAUAACUAAUCGAAAGAUUAGCUAAUACCGCAUAUUCUCUGAGGAGGAAAGCAGGGGACCUUCGGGCCUUGCGUUAUUCGAGCGGCCGAUAUCUGAUUAGCUAGUUGGUGGGGUAAAGGCCUACCAAGGCGACGAUCAGUAGCGGGUCUGAGAGGAUGAUCCGCCACACUGGGACUGAGACACGGCCCAGACUCCUACGGGAGGCAGCAGUGGGGAAUUUUGGACAAUGGGCGCAAGCCUGAUCCAGCCAUGCCGCGUGUCUGAAGAAGGCCUUCGGGUUGUAAAGGACUUUUGUCAGGGAAGAAAAGGCUGUUGCUAAUACCGACAGCUGAUGACGGUACCUGAAGAAUAAGCACCGGCUAACUACGUGCCUGCAGCCGCGGUAAUACGUAGGGUGCGAGCGUUAAUCGGAAUUACUGGGCGUAAAGCGAGCGCAGACGGUUACUUAAGCAGGAUGUGAAAUCCCCGGGCUCAACCUGGGAACUGCGUUCUGAACUGGGUGACUAGAGUGUGUCAGAGGGAGGUAGAAUUCCACGUGUAGCAGUGAAAUGCGUAGAGAUGUGGAGGAAUACCGAUGGCGAAGGCAGCCUCCUGGGAUAACACUGACGUUCAUGCUCGAAAGCGUGGGUAGCAAACAGGAUUAGAUACCCUGGUAGUCCACGCCCUAAACGAUGUCAAUUAGCUGUUGGGCAACUUGAUUGCUUAGUAGCGUAGCUAACGCGUGAAAUUGACCGCCUGGGGAGUACGGUCGCAAGAUUAAAACUCAAAGGAAUUGACGGGGACCCGCACAAGCGG